AAAAUACUCUUCCGUCUUUGACUCCCAUGUCAGCACCCUGAAACAGACACCUCUCUCAUCCUCUCACUGUCACUGGCUGAGCUGUCCAAACAACUGAAGGGCGGAACACUAACUCCAGAAGCUGUGUUCCACUCAUACAUGGAAAAGCUGAUUUUCAAGAUCUUGCACACUAAUGAGAUGCUAUUGAGCCCACACUACUACACUGUCUGAGCCAAGGACUACAUGCUUUCUGGAAAUCACACACAGAAUGAGCAGUAUGGCCGGCGGCAUUGUCAUGCUGGAGGGUCAUGUCAGGAUGAGCCUGCAGGAAGGGUACCACAUGAGGGAGGAGUAUGUCUUCCCUGUAACGCACAGCGUUGAGAUUGCCUGCAAUGACAACAAGCUCAGUCCGAUGAUGCUUUGACACACCGCCCGAGACCAUGACGGACCCUCCACCUCGAUCCAGAGUACAGGCCUCAGUGUAACACUCAUUCCUUCGACGAUAAACGCAAAUCCGACCAUCACCCCUGGUGAGAGAAAACCGCGACUCGUCAGUGAAGAGCACUUUUUGCCAGUCCUGUCUGGUCCAACGACAGUGGGUUUGUGCCCAUAGGCAAUGUUGUUGCAGGUGAUGUCUGGUGAGGACCUGCCUUACAACAGGCCUACAAAUCCUCAGUCCAGCCUCUCUCAGCCUAUUGUGGACAGUCUGAGCACUGAUGGAGGGAUUGUGUGUUCCUGGUGUAACUCGGGCAGUUGUUGUUGCCAUCCUGUACCUGUCCCGCAGGUGUGAUGUUCAGAUGUACCGAUCCUGUGCAGGUGUUGUUACAUAUGGUCUGCCACUGCGAGGAUGAACAGCUGUCCGUCCUGUCUCCCUGAAGCGCUGUCUUAGGCGUCUCACAGUCAGGUAGGAUCACGCGUCUCCUUCCUGAGCGGUAUGAUGGCUGCGUGGUCCCAUGGUGGUUAUACUAGCAUACUAUUGUUUGUACAGAUGAACGUAGUACCUUCAGGCGUUUGGAAAUUGCUCCCAAGGAUGAACCAGACUUGUGGACGUCUACAAUUUUUUUCUGAGGUCUUGGCUGAUUUCUUUUGAUUUCCCCAUGAUGUCAAGCAAAGAAGCACUGAGUUUGAAGGUAGGCCUUGAAAUACAUCCACAGGUACACCUGCCAUUGACUCAAAUUAUCACAAUUACCAUAUCAGAAGCUUCUAAAGCCAUGACAUAAUUUUCUGGAAUUUUCCAAGCUGGUUAAAUGCACAGUCAAUUUAGUGUAUGUAAACGUCUGACCCACUGGAAUUGUUAUACAGUGAAUUAUAAGUGAAAUAAUCUGUCUGUAAACAAUUGUUGGAAAAAUGACUUGUGUCAUGCACAAAGUAGAUGUCCUAACCAACUUGCCAAAACUAUAGUUUGUUAACAAGAAAUUUGUGGAGUGGUUGAAAAAUGAGUUGUAAUGACUCCAACCUAAGUGUAUGUAAACUUCCGACUUCAACUGUAUAUAUAUAUAGUAUGUAUAUGUGUAUAAAUUAAACUGUAUAAUAAAUAAAUGUGACUGGUCAAUAUUUUGGAUGAAAUCAAAUCAAAUUGUAUUUGUCACAUGCUCCGAAUACAACAGGUGCAGACCUGAUCAACUCUAUGCGAAG
rnacentral:lncRNA from 1 species